GGUUUUUAGAUUUUAUUAAAAAUCAAGCCUGCUCAAUGCUAAGUAAAUAGCCGCAGAAUUUUAACUGUGCAAAGGUAGCAUAAUCACUUGUCUUUUAAUUGGGGACUAGAAUGAAAGGUUUAACUAUGUAAUUUUGUCUUAUAGUAAUAUUUUGAACUUAAUUUUUUAGUAAAAAAGCUAAAAUUCAUCUUAAAGACGAGAAGACCCUAUUAAGCUUUACAAUUUAAUAUUAUUUUCAAACUAAUUAAAAAAUUGUUCUGCUGGGGCAGCAAAUAAAAAAAUAUUGUUUACAUAUUGUGAUAAAUAAAUCUAGAAAAAUCAAUAAUUUGUUAAAAAAUAAUAAGUUACUAUAGGGAUAACAGCAUAAUUUUUUUAAAGAGUUCUCAUCAACAAAAAAGUUUGUGACCUCGAUGUUGGAUUAAGAAUCCUAUUUUACGCAGUAGUAAAAAAAGGGAGUCUGUUCGACUUUUAAAUUCUUCCA
rnacentral:rRNA from 1 species